AUGUGCUCCCCGGCACUGGCCGGUGGACGGCGCGGCACCGAAUCGACCGCCGCACGGGGUGGGGUGCCUCCUGGCGGCUGGGAUCGGGAGGCGAGGGAGAAAGAGGAGAGACGGUUGGGGUUAUGUUUCUUUUUUUACUUCAAAAAGGACCGCGGGUUUAAUACCGCAAACUGUAGGGAUUGUUUUGCAAAAUUUCUGAUCGAAACGUUUUCCCACUUACGAAAGGACUGCGGGUUGAAUACUGAAAAAUGCAGGGAGGUUUCUGCAAAAAUGCCGCGACGUACGACCAGAAGCGAUCCAUGGUUUAUUAGUAGGUAA
rnacentral:rRNA from 1 species